GAGAAAAUGUGUAAAGUGUCUCUACAUGUCAACAUACAUAUUGCCCUUCACUUAUAAAUCAGAGAGGACUUGAUUCCAUAAAACAGGGUUUUUUUCCCUGUCAAGUGACAUCCUUGAGAUUUUGCUUUCUAUAAAAAUUCUACUUUAUAAAAGAACAUAUUAGAGGAGGUCGGUUCUUUGGGAACACAUCUAGUGUCCACAGAAGUGGGAAAGGGCCUGACGCUGGGGACUCCCUUCACAUCAAGGAGAAUUGCUCUGGAAUGCUGUGGCCCAUUUCACCACCCAAGGUAGAGAUAAAAAAACGAAAGAAAGAUAUUCUAAGUGACAUCAGCAAAUGGCCAAAUAAGACGUUCCGCCCACGUGUGCCCCGCCUCAACAAUACUUUGGCAUCCAUCCAUGGACAAAAGCAUCUUCCUGGGAGCCUUGAGAUCCAGGUAGGACGCUGUGAAAUCCUAGGGCAGUCCAAGAUGAGAAAAGCCAUCUUGAGAAGGCACCCAAGCAGCUGACUCCCUCAUUGUAGUCCAGGCUACAGAAAUGAAA
rnacentral:lncRNA from 1 species